rnacentral:rRNA from 1 species
UACGUAGGGGGCAAGCGUUGUCCGGAUUUAUUGGGCGUAAAGAGCGUGUAGGCGGCCAGACAGGUCCGUUGUGAAAACUCGAGGCUCAACCUCGAGACGUCGAUGGAAACCGUCUGGCUAGAGUCCGGAAGAGGAGAGUGGAAUUCCCGGUGUAGCGGUGAAAUGCGCAGAUAUCUGGAGGAACACCGGUGGCGAAGGCGGCAUCCUGGACCGGUAUUGACGCUGAGGCGCGAAAGCCAGGGGAGCAAACGGG